GGUGAUUCGAUGCUGAAUUAAGUAUGAGGAGCAUUGGUCCCCCAAAAGAGCCAGGAAAUCAGGAGAGCGUCGUUUCAUGGAAACCAAGUCAGGAGAGUUUCAAUAGGAGGAGAGACCAGCAGCAUCAGACGAGGGAAGCAGUCACAGAAUCAGGGCCAAAGCUCAGCAGCCUUGGCAUUGAGAAGGUUUAUUGGUGCGUUCCUGUCUAAUUGACUCUCAAGAUGAGGAGACAGAGACACAGAACGAUUGAUGGACUUGCCCAAGGUCACCACAGCAAGUGAAGGGGAAAACAGAGAGGAGAAGCUGAGGCACGGAGGGAAGAAGCAGCUUGAUCAAGGAGCCACAACACGUCAUUGCUGGAGGCUGGGAUGUGAAGGGGUCCAAGGUCAAGUGGGAGAGACCCACCAUGGACGUACCAGAGAUACCAGUUGCCAUGGAAUGGCUGACCUGCACAAAAGAAUCAUCGUAUUGAAAUCACAACCUCAGAUGGCUACUAUGAGUCCGCCCUCAAUCUAAAGGAGCCCAUGAGGAGUAUAACAGCAAAGUCGGUGUGGUUCAGACUUUGACUUCUUCUUUUUCACCAAGACUUUACGGCAGAAUGUGGGAGGAAAUCGAGCCCAUGGGGAGUUGCCCCGGAAAUUAGAUUCAAGAGACAUGUUCAAACCAAUUUGCAGUCUAUAAAUUUAUAUGAAGAAACUGAUCUUCCCAGGAACAAGGAGGCUCAUGUUGCCCCACCAGGGCUUCGACUUUCUGCGCUGAAUAACCAGGAACCCACUUUCUGGGUGUGCCUGGGUAAGAACAUUGGGUGAUGGAUGGUGUCAAGGAUGUUGCACAACAGCCGCUCAGGUGGCCUGUGAACCAAACCAGCCACUUACUGGCGAUGCUGUUUAUGGACCAGUUUGCUCAUGUUUCUCAGAUCCAGUGACCCUCCGCCUGGAUGUUGCAGAUUUUAUAAGAAAAGCCAGUGGGUUCCCAGACAAAGUUAAAAAGCUGGAGACAGACGACAAGACAGUAACAAUCACCACAGCAGCAGCGAAUCCAAACAGCACGCUCUGAUGGGAAACACUGGGAUGAGAGAACCGGCUAGAUAGCCCGAGAUCUGAAGGCUGAGGAGGUACCGGCUCUGGAGGUCUCAGCCUUCCUCCAUCACUGAAGGCCUUGGGCAUUGCCUGUUUGAUUUCUCUCUUCUGAGAAGCAUCUGCUCCUGCCCCACCACUGAGGAUACCUCCCUUUUUUAGCCCCAGUCCUCAGCUGCUUUUAAUUUCAUGAUUAUCAGCCACGAGGAAUCGGUUUCUUGAUGACUCAGGAGCGAGGGACGCUGGGAGUUCUCUACCUGGGGCUUCUUCCUCAAGAACUCAUCCCAAGUCCCCUGCAAGGGAGCAGCCUUCCCUGAUCAGCACUGAGUCUGUUUGAGGUGCUCCAGGUCUGGCCGUCAUGGCCCUGGUGACCUCGUGGUUUUUUUGGCUUUAAAUCUCCAGCAACCGGCAAAGCAUCCGGUACGCAGGGGAUGCUUGAUAGAUACUUCUUGAACAAAUGAAUUCAUGGAGGAGUGAAUGGACAAAUAAACCAGGCCAGUGUUCAGGCACUGGGAGAGAAGUUGGGCGCAUUCCGAUGGGCGAGGUGUGGAUUUCUAUGGGAACAUGCAGCAGAGGCACCUAAGAAGGACUUGUGUCAUCAGAAGAGGCUCCCCGAGGAACAGGCUCCCCUUUAAUUUGGAGGAACAUAAGCAGGCUUGUCGGAUGCAAGCCUGCGUGCUGGGAUUCAGCCAACAGACACGGGCAGUUGUUGAUUACAUCAAACGCGUCCCCAGGCCCAUGGAGGAGGCGACCGCGUGUGCUACCAGCAUCACGGUUCCCUCCAGGGCGAGGCUGCAGAGCUUUUCCAGGGGAAUCCUGAGGUGGUCUGGCUC